rnacentral:lncRNA from 1 species
UUAGCCACCAUAAAAGCUGCUUGCUCAUAUCGCGGAAAAAUCUUAGCCCCCAUCGCUGCUGUCGCCUUGCUGCAAAAUCUUUCUUUUAUCUUUUGUGGGGCCUUUGCUACCUCUCUUGUGAAGUAACAAAGGCUCCUUCACAAUAGAAGUCUCGGAGGAGGAACACCGAAUGCUCACCUUGUUUCACGCCCACUCGGAGUAACAAACUCUCCUGGUUUUUGUGCUCAGCUCUCAGCUUUCUAAGCUGUUCUAAAGCCUCAGCUGUUAAGGUGAUAGCGGAAGCCGGCGUUGUUACAGUUCCGCCUGUCCAAAUACAUAAGGAAGAUCCUUGAUAAUAUACUUUGCCACAUUUCAGGAAGGGACAUAUCAUAACUGCAUAACUCAAAACAGCGGAGUCUACCUCUGCGAACAAUCCACCAGAGAACCCUACAACGCCGAAAGCCUGCUAUGGCCCUUCUCACCUGCAGCUGCCUCAACACGGAUCACCCUAGCACGGACGGCCGGAAUGGUGAGUCGAAGCUGCUUUGGGCCAGCCGAAACCCGGACUGUGUGCGCCUGAAGCAACAUGACUACUCACGGUGUCCCUACAAUACUAAGCCAAAGGUCGCUUUGCCCUGCUUCAACCAUAAAUAUCUUAUUUAAGAAAGACAUUAAAUAUAAAUGCAGCUCGCUCCUCUCACCAUGGUUGUACGGGUACAUAUACGGACAGACAACGUUUGCAACAUCCAACUACUUAUUUGCGGGAUCCGUUCCGCAACCCUGUAACAGGCGUCAUCAUUACGCCAUGCUCUUGUGCUGGUUCAUCAGACAACAGUCGUGAUGUUUCGAAGCCGCCGAAAGAUGGACUGCCACUGACUCCCUCUGU